rnacentral:rRNA from 1 species
UACAGAGGUCCCAAGCGUUGUUCGGAUUCAUUGGGCGUAAAGGGCGCGUAGGCGGCGCGGUAAGUCGGGUGUGAAAUCUCGGAGCUUAACUCCGAAACUGCAUUCGAUACUGCCGUGCUUGAGGACUGGAGAGGAGACUGGAAUUUACGGUGUAGCGGUGAAAUGCGUAGAUAUCGUAAGGAAGACCAGUGGCGAAGGCGGGUCUCUGGACAGUUCCUGACGCUGAGGCACGAAGGCUAGGGGAGCAAACGGG